UUAAUUGAAGCCAGUUUUGGCAUUUCAUUGUUAAUGAAAAAUUAGAUCUAUGAUCCUGUUAAA
rnacentral:tRNA from 1 species